AUAAAACGAUAGGGAGAAAGAACAUGGAAAAUAAAAUGCCAGGUUGUUAACAGAAAAAAGAAGACAUUUAAAGUUUUUUGUUUUUUUUUUUUUUAGACAGGGUGUUGCUCUGCAUUCAUAGUGGAAUACAGUGGUGUGAUCACAUCUCACUGCAGCCUCAAUCUCCUGGGCUCAAGCAAUCCUCCCACCUUCGCCUCCUGAGUAGCUGGGACUAUAGUCAUGUACCACAAUGCCCAGCUAAUUAUUUUUUUUCUUUCAGAGAUGGUGGAUCUCACUUUGCUGCCCAGGCUAGUCUUGAACUUUUGGCUCAAGUGAUCCUCCUGCCUCAGUCUCUCGAAGUGUUAGAAUUAUAGGCGUGAGUCACCAUGCCUAGCCUAAAGUAUUUUAAUACCGACAAAAAUAUUUCCUUAAACAGGAUUUGAAUUCUGAGCUUUCCAUCUACCAGCACUAUAUAUUCCCUUUCCAGGUAGCAGUUUGGCUACUCUAGUCUAGUGCCUUCAGAAUUCUGAAAAGCUCUUCUGGGCUUUCACUUUCCAUUUCAUCAAAGAGAAAAAGAGAUUCAGUCUUCCUUUAUGGGAACCCCAUUUGGGAUCAGAGUUUGGCUCUCAGGCCACGGUCUAAAACAUAUACAUACCAUAUGUGUUCAAUAAAUGUUCAUUUUUUUCUUUCUCAUCCUUUGUUCUCUACUCUCUUAUUUCCAAUCCAGUUUGCAUGUCCAAUUAUCAGGUCUAUCAGAAUAAGCCUUAAAAUACCAAUUUCAUUAGGUGACUUUCUUGCUCAAAAUCUUCCAGUGACUCCCAGCUGCCCAUAGAAUGUAGCCUGAACUUCUCUUCCUGGUAUUCAAGGCCCUCUGUAAUCUGACUACAAUAUACUUUAAAAUUCUCUAACACACUUUAAAGACAAAUUUCUAUUGGGCCAAUCUUCUCACCAAUUCCUGCCUUUAAGUGCCAGGCCCUAACCAAAUUUCUCACUGGGCCUGAGUUUAGGCAUAUCUUUUGCAAGAGGAUUGGCUGCUCCACUCCUGCCCCGAUAGAUCACAGUAGCCUUAGUAUAGCUACCAGGUAAGGGUGCCUCCUGUAUAUCAUGCACUUUUCAUACAUUAUCUUUUUUCAUCAUCAUAAUAACUUGUAAAGACCACAUUCUGAUUCCAUUUUACAAAUAAGGAAGUUGGAGCUCAGUGACAUUGUGACGUAAGACCAUGUUGUUGUUAUGAAGUGGUGAAAACAGGAUUCUCUCCUAAGACGGUUGCUAGAGCCAUUGCUCUGCCCCUGCCUCUAUGCUGACUUCAUUCAUCUCUUCUGCUCUGAACCUUGUCCAGUUUUAUCUUUGGAAUCACUUAUUUGACACUUACACUCCUUCUGUCUUGAACUGGUAAUUACAUGAUCCAUUUGUGCUUAUCUUCCCAACACGGCUGUUAGAGGGCAGUGGCUUCAUGCUAUUAACAAAUCACCUCCAUCAGCAUUGAGCAUAGUACUAUGGCAUAGCACAAAUGCAGUGGGGGUGUCUAAUUCUUCUGAAAAUGUGACAGCUCUUCGACCUGACAGCCCUUCUGCCCUGACUGGUCACAUGUGAGGGAAUGUGUGUACUGUCUGGUGACUGCUAAAUGUGGCCCAGGCAUUCACUUACCCAGUGCACAAGACCCAGCAGCAUCACCAGCAAGCUUGUGGAGUAAAUCAGAUGAACAGUGUGUGAGAAUUGGAAAACGUGUCCCAAAGAAUAAGCACAACAGAAUGGCGUACCUUCUUU